rnacentral:rRNA from 1 species
GUAGAUAGCUGGUUUUCCGCGAAAACUAUUUAGGUAGUGCGUUGAAUAAAUAGAUGUUUAGAGGUAGAGCACUAAAUGGGCUAGGGGGAAGAGAUUCUUACCAAACCUAAUAAAACUCCGAAUGCUAAACAUUGUUCUUCAACAGACAGACUGUGGGUGCUAAGGUCCAUGGUCGAGAGGGAAAGAGCCCAGACCACCAGAUAAGGUCCCAAAAUUAUGAUUAAGUGUGAAAGGAUGUGGAAAUUCCUUAACAGCCGGGAGGUUGGCUUAGAAGCAGCCAUCCUUUAAAGAUAGCGUAACAGCUCACCGGUCUAAUAGAGUUUCUGCGCCGAAGAUGUAACGGGGCUAAAAUCAUAUACCGAAUCUGUGGAUUUAUAAUUUUAUUUUUAAAAUUAUAACUGGUAGCGGAACGUUCUGUAAGUCUGUGAAGGGAUAUCCGUGAGGAAUCCUGGAGAUAUCAGAAGUGCGAAUGCUGACAUAAGUAACGAUAAAAGAAGUGAAAAACUUCUUCGCCGAAAAUCCAAGGGUUUCUGCGCAAGGUUAAUCCGCGCAGAGUUAGUCGGCACCUAAGGCGAGGGCGAAAGCCGUAGUCGAUGGAAAUAAGGUUAAUAUUCCUUAACCAGAUGGAAGUGACGGAUCUUAAAAGUUGUAAAUUCUUAAUGGAUUGAAUUUGCCGCGAAAAGGUCCCAAGAAAUAGCUCCAUCAUCAGACCGUACCCUAAACCGACACAGGUGGAUUAAUAGAGUAUAUUUAGGCGCUUGAGAGAAUGAUGUUGAAGGAACUCGGCAAAAUGCUUCCGUAACUUCGGAAUAAGGAAGACCUUUUUUUAGGCAACUAUUAAAAGGUGGCACAAGUCAGGAGAAGCGACUGUUUAUCAAAAACACAGGGCUCUGCUAACACGUAAGUGGAUGUAUAGGGUCUGACGCCUGCCCGGUGCUGGAAGGUUAAUGCGAUGGGUGCAAGCUCAUUUCUGAAGCCCCAGUAAACGGCGGCCGUAACUAUAACGGUCCUAAGGUAGCGAAAUUCCUUGUCGGGUAAGUUCCGACCUGCAUGAAUGGCGUAACGAUUUCUCCGCUGUCUCCAACAUCAACUCAGUGAAAUUGAAUUCUCCGUGAAGAUGCGGAGUUCGCGUAGUUAGACGGAAAGACCCCGUGCACCUUUACUGCAACUUUACAUUGGUAUUAGGAAAAACAUAUUUAGUAUAGGAGGGAGACAUUGAAGCAAAGGCGUUAGCUUUUGUGGAGUCACCAGUGAAAUACCUCUUUUGUUUUUCUUGAUAUCUAACUGACAGCCGUUAUCCGGCGUCAAGACAUUGUAUGGUGGGUAGUUUGACUGGGGCGGUCGCCUCCCAAAUAGUAACGGAGGCGUGCGAAGGUAGGCUCAGAACGGUCAGAAAUCGUUCGUAGAGUGCAAUGGCAUAAGCUUGCCUGACUGUGAGACUGACAAGUCGAGCAGAGACGAAAGUCGGUCAUAGUGAUCCGGUGGUUCUGAGUGGAAGGGCCAUCGCUCAACGGAUAAAAGGUACGCCGGGGAUAACAGGCUGAUACUGCCCAAGAGCUCAUAUCGACGG